UUUUUCCCCCUGGAAACUAAGCAUAUCAAUAAGCGGAGGAAAAGAAACCAACUGGGGAUUGCCUCAGUAACGGCGAGUGAAGCGGCAACAGCUCAAAUUUGAAAUCUGGCCUCCUGGGUCCGAGUUGUAAUUUGGAGAGGACGCCUCGGGUGCGAUGCCGGUCUAAGUUCCUUGGAACAGGACGUCAUGGAGGGUGAGAAUCCCGUCUGUGACCGGUGGUCAACCCCUUGUGAGGCCCCUUCGACGAGUCGAGUUGUUUGGGAAUGCAGCUCCAAAUGGGUGGUAAAUUUCAUCUAAAGCUAAAUACCGGCCAGAGACCGAUAGCGCACAAGUAGAGUGAUCGAAAGAUGAAAAGCACUUUGGAAAGAGAGUCAAACAGUACGUGAAAUUGUUGAAAGGGAAGCGCUGGCAACCAGACUUGCUGGCGGGUGAUCCCCCGUCCUUCGGGGCGGCCCACUUGCCCGCCACCAGGCCAGCAUCGGUUCGGGCGGUCGGAUACAGGCCCCGGGAAUGUGACUCCCCUCGGGGAGUGUUAUAGCCCGGGGUGCAAUGCGACCCGCUGGGACCGAGGACCGCGCUUCGGCUAGGAUGCUGGCGUAAUGGUUGUCAGCGACCCGUCUUGAAACACGGACCAAGGAGUCUAACAUCUAUGCGAGUGUUUGGGUGCCAAACCCAUGCGCGUAAUGAAAGUGAACGGAGGUGGGAACUCCCCCGGGGGUGCACCAUCGACCGAUCCUGAUGUCUUCGGAUGGAUUUGAGUAUGAGCAUAGCUGUUGGGACCCGAAAGAUGGUGAACUAUGCGUGAAUAGGGUGAAGCCAGAGGAAACUCUGGUGGAGGCUCGCAGCGGUUCUGACGUGCAAAUCGAUCGUCAAAUUUGCGCAUAGGGGCGAAAGACUAAUCGAACCAUCUAGUAGCUGGUUACGCGA
rnacentral:rRNA from 1 species